CAGGUGAGCUCCAAUUAAGUCGUCAGGAUCCUAUAGAAAAAAAAGAGUAAACUGGAGAGGGAGAGAAAGAAGACCAGGAGGGAGGAACGCCUAACAGGCACUUUACCGCUGCCGGCACAUAACAACAAUGAAUUGGAACCAUCCCCCGUAUAUUUGCAGAGUUGGGAGCAGUACCCAAGACACCUCUUCAGAGAUUUCUGACUCUACCAGAUCUGGGCCCGAUUUCCCGAAAGCAUCGUUAGCCUAAGUGGAUCGUAAAGUGCGUCGUACGAGCAUCGUACAGUUUUCACACCGUUUCCCGAAAGCAUUGUUGGAGAUCAUUGAGGCCGCUGCCAUCACAGAGACCACCCCUCCACCUCAAGCACCUCUUCUGCAUCGGUAGCCCUAAGCCCCCCAACCCCCAGGAAGAAAAAAGAUUAACCAUCUACUGAUGGUUCAAACCAACCGUUUUUUGGGCCCCUUUGAAAAAAAUAUUGAUAAAAUGUGAUGGUUGAUGCCUUUUUCUAAUGUGCAAUAAUAGUUCCAUCAUAGCACUGGUUCUUGUUCGUAUGAUAUUUAUGUUUUACAUGGAUGGCAUACUACCUCAAGAUCUAUGUUUAUUCUGGUAUUAUAUAUUAUUGUUUGGGUACAAUGUUCGAUCCAAAAUAAAGUGCAAUGUUGCAGUUUCUAACAGAUCGUGAGAUUGAAUAAUAUUCUUAUCUAAUCAUACCGUGUUUUUCCAUGUGGACAUGGCUCUUCUGCUGAGGUGGAAGUCCUGCUCCUGCUCCAG
ensembl:lncRNA